CCUAAAGUUGGUUUAGAAAAGUAAGUUGAAGUGAUUUGUUAAAGUAUAUAGGUAACUUUUGUAAUUUUAAAAAGUGACGUUGCAUCAUGUAAAGGGGCAUUUUUCUGGAUCAGACCGGUCUUCAGCAAAUCACAUUUUGGGUAUACAAUGACGGAUUUAAUCGGGAAAAAGACCCAAUUGUGAUGUUUAUGUGACAUAUAGGAGUGCCAAGAAAGAAGCUCGUCAAAGGCCUGAGUGAAGGAUGUUGGUGCUCACCUUGACUUCCAGAUAACAAUUAAUUAAAUGAUCCAUGAUUGGCUGAUAUACUGGAGGGUUUGGACAUGCCGAGAGAUUCUGUAACGCUCGUCGUUGGAAUGAGGUGAGGACCAAAGCGCAGCGUGGUGCGGACUCCGGCCGCAAAACCUGAACCUAUAAAGGAGAGUCUGGGUGGGCGUCUGUCCGCGGUGGUGGCUCUGGUGCGGGAAGUGGACCCCACUCCAUCAUAGUCUCGGCCCACUUUCGUGGCGCCUUGGAGGCAGCGACCCUCGCCACCGACCUCGGACUGGGAACCCUAGUAGAGGGCCCCGAAUGGACGGGAGCUUCCGGCAGCACCGGACAGGCGAGGGACUCCGACAGCUCUGGAGUGAAGGGAGUUUCCGGCAGCGCCGGAGUGAAGGGC
ensembl:lncRNA